rnacentral:lncRNA from 1 species
AUGAAUUCUAAUUACAGCCUUGUCAAGAACAUGGAGUGUCCUCCCAUCCAUCAACCAUCUUUCCUCUUUUGGUCCUUCCUCCAGGCCAGUGAGAUACCUGUCAGACAUCGGGGAACAUCAAUGAUCUGCUCACCUGCUCUCACUUUGCAUGUGCUGCGGAGGAAGAGGUACUUUUAGUGAUUCACCUGACCUAGGAAGGAUACCUACUUUUGAGGAGAUGGAUUUCACCAUAAAAUCUCUUUCUCAGUGGAGAUAAGAUUGAUAUAGGAAUUUUUGCAUAAUUAGCUUAGCUAUAGGCAGCUCCACUGUCUGCAACUGAAGCUCAACCUUUUUGUCCAGGGUACAUGAAAAUAAAUAAAUAAAUAAAUAAAUAAAACA